AAACCAGCACCUCAAGUGGUCAGGAUGAUUAUUGGGCCUAAAGCAUCCGUAGCCGGCUCUGUAAGUUUUCGGUUAAAUCUGUACGCUUAACGUACAGGCUGCUGGGAAUACUGCAGAGCUAGGGAGUGUGAGAGGUAGACGGUACUCGGGAGGAAGUGGUAAAAUGCUUUGAUCUCUCGAUGACCACCUGUGGCGAAGGCGGUCUACCAGAACACGUCCGACGGUGAGGGAUGAAAGCUGGGGGAGCAAACCGAAUUAGAAACCCGGGUAGUCC
rnacentral:rRNA from 1 species